GAACACUUAAGUAGCACAAAGUGUCACUGCUGGUCACAAAAAUGCCAGAGGUUGAUGGUUGAUGUGCUGUAUAUAUUGAUGUUAAGUUUUAAAUCCUACAAAAGAGCAGGAUGAAAAGUCAGUGAGAACGUUUCCUCAUCAACUGAUACCUCUUGUUCUGAAGUCGGGAUCUGAAAAACUCAUAUAAAGUUACACAAUGAGCCAUCGACAGGAAUACAUAGAAAAAGGUGAAGCUCCUGCCUUCAAACAACGCUCGGUGUCAAACAGAGGGUCAAAGGUCACAGCAGAGAGAGUGGCCCUGCUGGUUCUCAGCGCUCUCCUGGCAGCUGCCGUCAUUGUUAUUUACCGUCUAAUUUUCGCUAACAUUCAAACCAAGAAAAGUUUCCAGACACUGAGAGACGAGCAUGAAGCUCUAAAAAGAACUCACAG